rnacentral:siRNA from 1 species
AGGGCAUGUCCUGAGGAGGUUGUC